AAAUAAAUAAAUAAAAUGGUGCUUCAAGGAGUACUAUAGAUGAGAGAGCUAAGAUUCUAGAACACUCUAGAGAUAGUUGUGGGAAGAGAGCUCAGUUACUCUUCGUAUAUCUAUGUGUAUGUCACUUUCUUUUUUUGUUGUACAACUCCCAAGGUCGCAUCCUGAGUCUCAGCUGGCAUCCCUCUGGUACCCACAUUGCAGCUGGUUCCAUAGACUACAUUAGUGUGUUUGAUGUCAAAUCAGGCAGCGCUGUUCAUAAGAUGAUUGUGGACAGGCAGUAUAUGGGCGUGUCUAAGCGGAAGUGCAUCGUGUGGGGUGUCGCCUUCUUGUCCGAUGGCACUAUCAUAAGUGUGGACUCUGCUGGGAAGGUGCAGUUCUGGGACUCAGCCACUGGGACGCUUGUGAAGAGCCAUCUCAUCGCUAAUGCUGACGUGCAGUCCAUUGCUGUAGCUGACCAAGAAGACAGUUUCGUGGUGGGCACAGCCGAGGGAACAGUCUUCCAUUUUCAGCUGGUCCCUGUGACAUCUAACAGCAGUGAGAAGCAGUGGGUGCG
rnacentral:sRNA from 1 species